rnacentral:rRNA from 1 species
GACGAACGCUGGCGGCGUGCCUAAUACAUGCAAGUAGAACGCUGAAGGAGGAGCUUGCUCUUCUGGAUGAGUUGCGAACGGGUGAGUAACGCGUAGGUAACCUGCCUGGUAGCGGGGGAUAACUAUUGGAAACGAUAGCUAAUACCGCAUAAGAGUAGAUGUUGCAUGACAUUUACUUAAAAGGUGCAAUUGCAUCACUACCAGAUGGACCUGCGUUGUAUUAGCUAGUUGGUGGGGUAACGGCUUACCAAGGCGACGAUACAUAGCCGACCUGAGAGGGUGAUCGGCCACACUGGGACUGAGACACGGCCCAGACUCCUACGGGAGGCAGCAGUAGGGAAUCUUCGGCAAUGGACGGAAGUCUGACCGAGCAACGCCGCGUGAGUGAAGAAGGUUUUCGGAUCGUAAAGCUCUGUUGUGAGAGAAGAACGAGUGUGAGAGUGGAAAGUUCACACUGUGACGGUAUCUUACCAGAAAGGGACGGCUAACUACGUG